rnacentral:rRNA from 1 species
ACAUGCAAGUAGAACGCUGAAGGAGGAGCUUGCUUCUCUGGAUGAGUUGCGAACGGGUGAGUAACGCGUAGGUAACCUGCCUGGUAGCGGGGGAUAACUAUUGGAAACGAUAGCUAAUACCGCAUAAUAGUAGAUGUUGCAUGACAUUUGCUUAAAAGGUGCAAUUGCAUCACUACCAGAUGGACCUGCGUUGUAUUAGCUAGUUGGUGGGGUAACGGCUCACCAAGGCGACGAUACAUAGCCGACCUGAGAGGGUGAUCGGCCACACUGGGACUGAGACACGGCCCAGACUCCUACGGGAGGCAGCAGUAGGGAAUCUUCGGCAAUGGACGGAAGUCUGACCGAGCAACGCCGCGUGAGUGAAGAAGGUUUUCGGAUCGUAAAGCUCUGUUGUAAGAGAAGAACGAGUGUGAGAGUGGAAAGUUCACACUGUGACGGUAUCUUACCAGAAAGGGACGGCUAACUACGUGCCAGCAGCCGCGGUAAUACGUAGGUCCCGAGCGUUGUCCGGAUUUAUUGGGCGUAAAGCGAGCGCAGGCGGUUAGAUAAGUCUGAAGUUAAAGGCUGUGGCUUAACCAUAGUACGCUUUGGAAACUGUUUAACUUGAGUGCAAGAGGGGAGAGUGGAAUUCCAUGUGUAGCGGUGAAAUGCGUAGAUAUAUGGAGGAACACCGGUGGCGAAAGCGGCU